UACGGAGGAUUCAAGCGUUAUCCGGAUUUAUUGGGUUAAAGGGUGCGUAGGCGGCCUGUUAAGUCAGGGGUGAAAGACGGUAGCUCAACUAUCGCAGUGCCCUUGAUACUGAUGGGCUUGAAUUGACUUAGAGGUAGGCGGAAUGUGACAAGUAGCGGUGAAAUGCAUAGAUAUGUCACAGAACACCGAUUGCGAAGGCAGCUUACUAUGGUCUUAUUGACGCUGAGGCACGAAAGCGUGGGGAUCAAACAGG
rnacentral:rRNA from 1 species